UCGUGUCAUUCUGUGGAGGGUUGUGACUACAUCUGUUUGACUGUCACUGCAUUGCUGUAUAGAUGUCGAUGUAUGGGAGCGAAGGCCCAUGUACAAAGGAAAAGGUGAUUGGGAGUGGCUGUCAAAGGAGUAUUUGAGUCCAGAACUGAGGGAAUGGGCUGUAGCAAGUGUGCCCCAUUUGGUUUACAUGGGUUCUUGUACGUAUGGUGCCAGUGGGCACAGAGGAGCUGUUUGCAUCCAUGAGAUCCUUAAGAGGCUUCAAGAGGUGCAGUUUGUGAAAGAAGGAUAGAUGUGAGGCCCCAUCUGGUGGAAAAAGAGUUUUGUGUGAAGAUGGUGGCCCAGUUGGGCAAAGAACAAGUGAAGUAGAAGUAUGCCUGUGGGGGACAUGAAGUACUUAUUCCCAAAAUGGAAGUGGAUUUGAUGU